CGCGUAGGCGGCUAUGAAAGUCUGGUGUGAAAGGCCACAGCUUAACUGUGGGAGUGCACUGGAAACUACAUGGCUAGAGUUCAAGAGGGGAAGUUGGAAUUCCUGGUGUAGGGGUGAAGUCUGUAGAUAUCAGGAAGAACACCUGUGGCGAAGGCGAACUUCUGGCUAUGAACUGACGCUGAGGCGCGAAAGCGUGGGGAGCGAACAGGAUUAGAUACCCUGGUAGUCC
rnacentral:rRNA from 1 species